rnacentral:rRNA from 1 species
CAGUCGCCGCGGUAAUACGAAGGGUGCAAGCGUUAAUCGGAAUUACUGGGCGUAAAGCGUGCGUAGGCGGUGAGUUAAGUCUGCUGUGAAAUCCCCGGGCUCAACCUGGGGAUGGCAGUGGAUACUGGCUCGCUAGAGUGUGUCAGAGGAUGGUGGAAUUCCCGGUGUAGCGGUGAAAUGCGUAGAGAUCGGGAGGAACAUCAGUGGCGAAGGCGGCCAUCUGGGACAACACUGACGCUGAGGCACGAAAGCGUGGGGAGCAAACAGGAUUAGAUACCCCAGUAGUCCCUGUCUCUUAUAC